rnacentral:lncRNA from 1 species
GCUCCUGCCGCCUUGCCCUUGUGUUUCUUCGCCGCCUUUGGGGAUUCCAGAUCGCCGUGCUUCCUCUUUCUCAUGUUGGCCAGCGUGUCCCCCAUCUCCUCCUUCUCCUUCUUCUUCUUCUUCAUGUUGGCCAGCGUGUCCCCCAUCUCCUCCUUCUCCUUCUUCUUCUUCUUCAUGUUGGCCAGCGUGUCCCCCAUCUCCUCCUUCUCCUUCUUCUUCUUGAGGUUGGCCAGCGUGUCCCCCAUCUCCUCCUCCUCCUUCUUCUUCUUGAGGUUGGCCAGCGUGUCCCCCAUCUCCUCCUUGUCCAGGGACGCCGCAAUCUCCCCCUUGUCCUUUUUCUUCUUGGCAGCAGCCUUCUCCCCCUUCUCCUUCUUCUUCGGGGCCGUCGCCUUCUCCUCCUCCUCCUUCUUC